rnacentral:rRNA from 1 species
AUUGAACGCUGGCGGCAUGCCUUACACAUGCAAGUCGAACGGCAGCACGGGAGCAAUCCUUGUGGCGAGUGGCGAACGGGUGAGUAAUAUAUCGGAACGUGCCCAGUCGUGGGGGAUAACGCAGCGAAAGCUGUGCUAAUACCGCAUACGAUCUAAGGAUGAAAGCGGGGGAUCGCAAGACCUCGCGCGAUUGGAGCGGCCGAUAUCAGAUUAGCUAGUUGGUGGGGUAAAGGCCCACCAAGGCGACGAGCUGUAGCUGGUCUGAGAGGACGACCAGCCACACUGGAACUAAGACACGGUCCAGACUCCUACGGGAGGCAGCAGUGGGGAAUUUUGGACAAUGGGCGCAAGCCUGAUCCAGCAAUGCCGCGUGCAGGAUGAAGGCCUUCGGGUUGUAAACUGCUUUUGUACGGAACGAAACGGCCCUUUCUAAUACAGGGGGCUAAUGACGGUACCGUAAGAAUAAGCACCGGCUAACUACGUGCCAGCAGCCGCAGUAA